CCUACGGUAGCUCGGUUGGUAGAGCGAGGGACUGUAGAUCCCUAGGUCACUGGUUCAAAUCCGGUUCGAAGGA